CUCAAUAACUACUAUCAGCUGGGCACCAAUGAUCUUGAGAAUAAGUUUGUGCCGGUUUACGUGAAGGCGAUGUCGGAGGAUGUGAAGGUGACGAUGGUGGAUGCUGGACAACACCAUGCCAUCUGUCUGGACACUGCAGGUAAGGUGUACACAGUUGGGAGAGGAGAAUAUGGUCGCCUCGGACACGGAGAUUCCAACGAGGAGAAGAGAGUUCCUGCCAUCCUUGACCUUCCUCCAUGUAAACAGGUGGCGGCUGGUCAAGCAGUGUCUUAUGCGGUCACUAACUCAGGUGAAAUCUAUGCUUGGGGGAUGGGAACUAGUCAACAGCUUGGCUCAGGUGAUGACGAGGACGUUACUACACCUCGGCUAAUGACAGGAAAACAGCUACAGACCAGGAAGGUGAUAGCAGUGAGUGGAGGGGGACAACACACAGUCUUACUGGCCACAGACACACCCUCCUGAUGACCCCGCAGUCAAUACUAUAGCAACCGACAGGACAUGGCUGGAUCGUAACAGUGCAGCAAAUGUGUCUUAUGUCAAGGCAUUCUGAUCUAAUCAUCUUGUCAAUGAUUCUUUACUCGUAACAACAAAGACUUUCUGCACUGUGCAAUAGGUUGAAACAUUAUCUAGUUAAACAAAGAUACAAAGAUUAGAAAUAAUUUUGAUAAAGAGUGCAACUGACUUACAGAAUACAAGUACAUUGAAGAUAAUUUAUUGUAUUGAUGACAGAAGUAUGAAUAAUAGUCGUGUAGUAAAGAUAAAACAGGCCAGAAAAAUUUGAUUAGAUACCGGUUAGAAUGAACUGUUUGAUUAGAUACCGGUUAGAAUGAACUGUAGUUUUCUGUGAGAUGGUACUAAAAAUGUACUUUUUUAAUUGAACCUUAAUUUUAUCUUGAUAUGUUAUAUCCAUGCAUUUUUAUGUGAAUAAAGUUUUAAUGACAACUG
rnacentral:misc_RNA from 1 species